GGGGGCCGAAGGGGGAGGGCCUCACUCGGGACCCAUACCUGCUGCUCCCUGGACAGACCAUCUGGAUCACAUCAAGGAGGUGGCAGGAGCCAGAGCCGUGGGUUUUGGUGGGGACUUUGAUGGUGUUCCAAGGGUCCCUGAGGGGCUGGAGGACGUCUCCAAGUAUCCAGACCUGAUCGCUGAGCUGCUCAGGAGGAACUGGACGGAGGCGGAGGUCAAGGGCGCACUGGCUGACAACCUGCUGAGGGUCUUCGAGGCUGUGGAACAGGCCAGCAACCUCACACAGGCUCCCGAGGAGGAGCCCAUCCCGCUGGACCAGCUGGGUGGCUCCUGCAGGACCCAUUACGGCUACUCCUCUGGGGCUUCCAGCCUCCAUCGCCACUGGGGGCUCCUGCUGGCCUCCCUCGCUCCCCUGGUCCUCUGUCUGUCUCUCCUGUGAAACCUGGGAGACCAGAGUCCCCUUUAGGGUUCCCGGAGCUCCGGGAAGACCCGCCCAUCCCAGGACUCCAGAU
rnacentral:lncRNA from 1 species